CUCCUGUGUAUGGCUCAUUGUAGGUCAUUCCAUAGGUUUUGGAUUGGGUUGAGCUUCUUCACAGAGGACAGAAGCUUCUGCCCAGCUGAAGAAAAGCAGCUCCAAAGCAUAGUGCUGCCCCCCACCAUACCACCAUGUUGAUUUUCUUGAAGCCCCCAUAGUGAUUAUGGUCAUGGCGACAGCAUGGCCAAGUUUUUUGUCCCAUGAAAGUUCUUUAUGCCGAGCAAUUCACAUAGUGAGCAACCUGAAAGCAAAGGGAAAGAUAUUUCACUUGCUCACCAAGUAUCUGCACUGGGAUGAGGAGCCUCCGGGAAACAUCUACAAUAUGAUCACCAGCACCCUGAAGUCUUUUCUGGAAGACAGCAGUCUGAGGUUCCUGGAGAACAGCUGGUAUGGUUAUGAUCU